UGCUAUCGAAGGAUUAAUUAGACCUUAAUUCAUAGCUUA
rnacentral:ncRNA from 1 species